rnacentral:sRNA from 1 species
AACAAUUUUCGGUUUGUGGCCAUCUGACUUCUCUCCGAUGCCCAGAUGAUGCAGACAGCCCCACCUCAGCCAGUCCUUCCUUUUCCAGGCUCCUGUGGGCCUUCAACAGUCGGGGCGAUCCGUUGGGUCGGUCGUCGCCACUUCGGAGGAAUCAUCUCAUAACUGGGGCCUGCCUGUGUUUUGUGAGCUCUGUCCACAGAGAGUGCUGCCAUGCUUCUGCCAAGCAGGAGAAGCGUCCGGGGGUCUCCGGAACCCUUAAGGAAAGCCGUCUGCACAGAAGAUAAGCAUUUUCUGUGAGUCGUGAGUACUGGAGGUGAGGAAGCCCUGAGCCACACACACGCCAAAAGAGAGGUGCCCUGGUGCAGGCACCAUCUUCAUGCCCGACGAGAAGAGACACGCCCACCAGAGCCAAGAGAGAGAGCCAUUACACUCUGUCCUUGAAGGGACAGCCAGGUGACAGCUCCCUAAACCACACCCACCCUCUGCCUCCUUCACUCAAGGUGCUUUGUCUGACUGAAGCUGUGUGCGCAGUGAAGGCCGGCCGAUGCUUUAGGUCCGCAGGAAUGUGAUGGUCCAGCUACCGUGGAUAACCUACCGAAGGUGCUUCCCUUGGCCAUGGCCUCAGCGGGAAGGCCUCACACCACAUAAACUGCUAUACUGUAGGUAUGCCAGACCCUUGGCACCCAGUGUGUUCCCGGACCUGUGCCCUUCAGCCCAGGACCCUGUGCUCGCUGGCUACUUGUUCACAUGACACUGGAAACCUGUGCCCUUUCAAGAUGCCCCCUCUGUUGCUGUGAGUCGGUGGGGGCACGGGUCCCCCUCAGAGGUCUAGUACUGUAUCUACCCGGGAAGGGAGUCUCCACAGCCGUGUCUAGAAGGGUACCUGCAUACCACGUGUGACUGUGUUGAGAGUCCUUGCUCACGGCUAUGAUGUCAUUACUCCUCCUCCUCCUCCUCCCUCUCCUCGUCCUCCUCCUGGUUCGUGGUUGACAUCCUUGCUGUCUUCCCAUGACCACGACUUAGCCCUCCUGUUGGAAAGGCAAGAAGAGCAAAGGCUCCCUGGCGGCCCUGUCUUUUGUUGUUGUUCUCAUCAGUGCCUGGCUGGCUGACUUUACCUGAGAUCUACUUCUGUGGUCCUCUCACCCCUGCCCCGGAGAGGCCCUAUGUUCUCUGGGGUCUGGAGAGGGUUUGCUUGCCUGUGCUGAUGAGUCAGAGCCAGGCCUCCCUGUGGCCUUCCCACCAUACACCACAGAGCCAGAAUCCUCCUCUCUCCUGUCCUGGUGGACACCAGGCACAGGGAGAGCUGAGGCCUGAAGGAUACUGUGGAGUCAGUUGUGCCCUAGGCAGGAUGGCCAAAGGCUACUGGACAGUGGGGAUCGGGGCCUGCCACCAAUGGCCCUUUUGGCCCUGCCUCAGUGGGGGUGCUAUUUAAGUUUAGGUUCAAAAUGUCACCUCAUGCUCAAAAGCUCCUCCCAUUGCAGGGCUUAAGGAGCUGUGUGUCUUCCCCCACCUGGAAGGUAUGGGAAGUUCCUAAGAGAGCAGCCCGCCCUGGUGGCUCCUGUGCCUGACUCACCCGCUCACUGCUUUCUGGGACCCGAUGUUCUGAGGAAGCAGGUGUCUUCUGCUUUGUCUAGGUCGUAGUCUCUGGUCUUUGGUUCAUUGUCCUGUGAUACAAUUUCCAUGGGCCGUUUAGUAAUUAUUUUGCUCUUCUUUGAGAUAGCACGAAACGUGGAAGCAUAUUAAUAAUUGGACCUCUGAGCAGGUGCAAUGAAAGAUCCUAGAAAUGGGUGUGUGUGGAAGGCCGGGAAGCCUCAGUCCCCAUCCCCGUCGGGUGGCAGUGGGCAGGCCAGGUCCCUGGGAAGCUGUGGUGGAGGCCUUGCAGGCUGUGACCUGCCGCAGGUUCUGGAGCAGCUGAGCCCGGGUCUCCCGGCAGACGGGGGCCUGUAGCCGGCUCGAGGACGGUAAAUGACCAGGGGAACUGGCCUGUCCAGGUCCACUGAAGGUCCUCCAAAGCCUUGCCGGGGUGAGGGUCGCUGUGAUGUGGCAUGCUGCUGCCACACAGCCUGCCUUCAGAGGCACCAGGGAGCAAGACGCUGUCGGGAUGGUAAAGGAGGGCAUCUCUGCAGGCAAACAGGGACUCCAACUGCUGACCUCAGGUUCUGACUCCCUUAGCCUUGCUGGCAGGGACACAUCUGACUGCCCACUCUGUGGGCAGCCACAGAAACAUCUGGCUGGGCUCCUUUUGUCCCCGCCUCUCCCCCACCCCACCCCACCCCCCACACACACCCACUUCCCACAGGAGUGUGAAGAGCUUGACACACCUCUGUCUAUUCGGUUUCUAAUCCAAUGCCCUUCCUGGUUUCCUUUGAUGGAGGCAUAGGUAAACCUGGGCUGUUUUCCCAGUCAACUUUGAUGGCUAACGUGGGCAAGGAGACUCAGCACAGACAAGAGAACCUGGCGGCAGGGAUGGCGGUGCCUCCCACACAUUGCCUUUGCCCCGAUUGCCUUGGCAUCUUGGCAUUUAUGACCUUGGUAUGACCUUCAUCUUGCUGGUGACAGCACUGGUCCUUGGGGACUCCUGGACUUUCAGAAAGUGACUUCAUCCCCUCACUGAGGGCUGGGGAUUGGUGUGGGUGUGGUGGAGUAGCAGACAUACCCAUCCCAUCCUGUGUGCUCAGGGGAACUUGGUUUAUGGUCCCUGCCUGGGCCUUGUGUCUAUCCUUGGGCAGCUGUGUUCCUUGCAUUGGCCACAGCAAAGCCCUGUCUGUGGUUCUCAGAAGUUGUGAUGUGCUCAGUGACCGGCUGGCACUCCUGAGUCACAUCGCUCCUCCAUAGACAGAGCUCUGGUCCAGGGUCACCACCGUGCACUGUGUGGCCUGGACCUCCUGCCACCCUUCCUCAUUGUCAGUGGUGAAGCUGCUGGAGGAAAGGCCACACUGGGUUCACCCCCAGGGGUCCUCUGCUCUGCCUUGGCAGGGUGCCUCAUUCCCUCCUGGUCUCUAUGAAGUCCCCUGUGGUCCUCUCUGGGGUUGCUGAUCGAUUCUUCUUUUUUUUCACUCUUCUCCCACCUUGAGGGACUCGGGAGAGUCCCUGAGCACCGUGGAGCAUGCAAGCCCUUGCAUGGCCGAUUGUCCCCUUGACUCUCUGUCCCCUACGAUAGGUAAGGACUCCUGCCCUGUUGUAUCCUCAGAGUGGGUGCUGCCUGGUGAGAUUGUGUGUCCUGAUGACUGUUCAACACAAAGAUGAGUCCCUAAUAAAUGCACAGUUGUUGAUUGAAAAUAACUCUGGACGUGGGAAGUCCAAGGCCAAGGUCCCGACAGACGGAUCGCCUGGUGCAAGCCCAAAGCUCAUGAACAGCACCUUAGAGCUGAGGUCCACAGGCAGAGGCUUAAGAGAGCUCCCCUGGGCCCAGGUUCUUGAGGGCACUAGUCAUGUUCAUGGAGGAGUGUGUGUAAACGUGUUAUCAGUAUGUGUUUGUGAGUGUGUACACACACAGCCCUGUUCCUUCUCUCACGGUGGAAAUUAGGUUGUAACAUAUGAAUUUGGAGGGACACCAACUGUCCGUUCCCGGCAUGUCCUAAAGAAUGUGG